UACGUAGGGUGCAAGCGUUGUCCGGAAUUAUUGGGAGUAAAGUGUGCGUAGGUGGCUUGGUAAGUUAGUUGUGAAAGUCAAAGGCUCAACCUUUGAAUGCCGAUGGAUACUGCGAAGCUAGAGUACGGAAGAGGCGAGUGGAAUUCCUGGUGUAGCGGUGGAAUGCGCAGAUAUCAGGAGGAACACCAAUAGCGAAGGCAGCUCGCUGGGACGUUACUGACACUAAGGCGCGAAAGCGUGGGGAGCGAACAGG
rnacentral:rRNA from 1 species